rnacentral:piRNA from 1 species
UNUCUAUCAGGACCCAGAGGCCUUAGC